rnacentral:rRNA from 1 species
UCCGUAGGUGAACCUUGCGGAAGGAUCAUUACCGAGUGCGGGAACCCAGUCGGGUCCCAAUCUCCCACCCGUGUCUACCACACCUAGUGUUGCUUUGGCGGGCCCACUCCUCCGGUGUUCCGCCGGGGGGGUCGUCCCGGGGCGCGGUGUGCCCCCGGGGCCCGUGCCCGCCAGAGGCACUCACUGUGAACGCUUUUGUGAAUGCGAGGAUUGUCUGAGUGACGAAAUGCAAUCGUUCAAAACUUUCAACAAUGGAUCUCUUGGUUCCGGCAUCGAUGAAGAACGCAGCGAAAUGCGAUAAGUAAUGUGAAUUGCAGAAUUCCGUGAAUCAUCGAAUCUUUGAACGCACAUUGCGCCCUCUGAUAUUCCGGGGGGCAUGCCUGUCCGAGCGUCAUUGCGAACCCUCAAGCACGGCUUGUGUGUUGGGCCGCCGUCCCCUCGUUUGGAGGGGACGGGCCUGAAAGGCAGCGGCGGCGUCGCGUCCGGUCCUCGAGCGUAUGGGGCUCUGUCACGCGCUCAAGGAGGGGUCCGGCCGGGGCCAUAGCCUCUGAAGGUCAAUUCUUCCAAGGUUGACCUCGGAUCAGGUAGGAGUACCCGCUGAACUUAAGCAUAUCAAUAAGCGGAGGA